AUUAAACGCUGGCGGCAUGCCUUACACAUGCAAGUCGAACGGUAGCGCGGGGCAACCUGGCGACGAGUGGCGAACGGGUGAGUAAAGCAUCGGAACGUGCCCUGGAAUGGGGGAUAACGUAGCGAAAGUUACGCUAAUAUCGCAUAUUCUGUGAGCAGGAAAGCAGGGGAUCGCAAGACCUUGCGUUCUGGGAGCGGCCGAUGUCGGAUUAGCUAGUUGGUGGGUAAAAGCCUACCAAGGCGACGAUCCGUAGCGGGUCUGAGAGGAUGAUCCGCCACACUGGGACUGAGACACGGCCCAGACUCCUACGGGAGGCAGCAGUGGGGAAUUUUGGACAAUGGGCGGAAGCCUGAUCCAGCCAUGCCGCGUGAGUGAAGAAGGCCU
rnacentral:rRNA from 1 species